AGAACAAAAAUACAGAAGGUCAGCUUGGAGGAACCCCCGGGUCGGGAGCGCCGGGCACGUCCGCAGGGGGUAGGGAGGCGGUUGGAGAAUCAGCGGGCAAUGGCGCCGGAGAGGAGUCUAGAAGAGAGAUCCCACUCAGGUCAAUUUCGGGGUACUUAGCCGACACCCUUGUCAGGCCUUCCUCGAAGCCUAAGAUAAAGGAGUCGGACCCCGCGUCCGACAUGUCACGGACGAACUCAUCAGACUGACGAUAGGCCUGUACCGCCUCCGACAUAUCACGGGUGAACUCGGCGGACUGACGAUAAGCCUGUACCGCCUGACGCCCGAUUUCCGCACUCUUCUCAGCCAGCGCCGCCUCUUACCGCUCCAUAAUCUGAGCUUUCGCCUCCAAGACCUUCGCCACAAUCCGGUCGUCCGCCUCGGAGGAGACCCUCAGCAGAUCAGCCUGAGCCUCCUUGUGCUUCGCCUCGGCAGCAAUGCGAGCAGCCUCAGCCUCCUCCAGGCGCGAAUGAAGCUCCUGGUCGCUCGCGC
rnacentral:lncRNA from 1 species